GGAUCGAUAGCUCAGCUGGAUAGAGCAUCUGCCUUCUAAGCAGACGGUCGGGGGUUCGAAUCCCCCUCGAUUCA
rnacentral:tRNA from 1 species